rnacentral:sRNA from 1 species
UAGACGCAUCGGGCGCGUGGCCGUUAC